rnacentral:tRNA from 1 species
GCGCUCGUAGCUCAGUUGGAUAGAGCAUCAGCUUGCGGAGCUGGGGGUCGCACGUUCGAGUCGUGCCGAGCGCACCA